GACGAACGCUGGCGGCGUGCGUAACACAUGCAAGUCGAACGAGAGAGUGAGAGAAGCUUGCUUUUCUUACGAUCGAGUGGCAAACGGGUGAGUAACGCGUAAACAACCUGCCCCGCAGAUGGGGACAACAGCUGGAAACGGCUGCUAAUACCGAAUACGGUCCUCUUAGCGCAUGGUAGGAGGAAGAAAGGGUGGCCUCUGGAACAAGCUACCGCUGCGGGAGGGGUUUGCGUCUGAUUAGCUGGUUGGAGGGGUAACGGCCCACCAAGGCGACGAUCAGUAGCCGGUCUGAGAGGAUGAACGGCCACAUUGGAACUGAGACACGGUCCCAGACUUCCUACGGGGAGGGCAGCCAGUGGGGGAAUUCUUUCCCGCAAAUGGGGCGAAAAGCCCUGGACGGGAAGCAAACCGCCCGGCCGUGAAGUGAAAGGACGGGCCUUUCCGGGUUGUAAAAGGCUUCUUUUAUUAGGGGAACG
rnacentral:rRNA from 1 species